UACGGGGGGUGCGAGCGUUGUCCGGAAUCACUGGGCGUAAAGGGCGCGUAGGUGGUUUGAUAAGGGGGUGGUGAAAGUCCGGGGCUCAACCCCGGAUCUGCCGUGCCGACUGUCAAACUCGAGGGCUGUAGAGGCAGACGGAAUUCCGGGUGUAGCGGUGGAAUGCGUAGAGAUCCGGAGGAAGACCGGUGGCGAAGGCGGUCUGCUGGGCAGUUUCUGACACUGAGGCACGAAGGCCAGGGGAGCAAACGGG
rnacentral:rRNA from 1 species